UACGUAGGGUGCAAGCGUUGUCCGGAAUUAUUGGGCGUAAAGAGCUCGUAGGCGGUUUGUCGCGUCUGCUGUGAAAACUCGGGGCUUAACCCCGGGCCUGCAGUGGGUACGGGCAGACUAGAGUGUGGUAGGGGAGACUGGAAUUCCUGGUGUAGCGGUGAAAUGCGCAGAUAUCAGGGGGAACACCGGUGGCGAAGGCGGGUCUCUGGGCCGUAACUGACGCUGAGGAGCGAAAGCGUGGGGAGCGAACAGG
rnacentral:rRNA from 1 species